rnacentral:pre_miRNA from 1 species
AUUAUACUCCCUCCGUCCGAAAAUACUUGUCAUCAAAAUGGACAAAAAGGGAUGUAUCUAAAACUAAAAUACAUCUCUUUUAUCCAUUUUGAUGACAAGUAUUUCCGGACGGAAGGAGUAUAUA